GAUGAACGCUGACAGAAUGCUUAACACAUGCAAGUCAACUUGAACUUCGGUUUGGGUGGCGGACGGGUGAGUAACGCGUACAGAACUUGCCUCACAGCUAGGGACAACAUUUGGAAACGAAUGCUAAUACCUGAUAUUAUGAUUAUAUGGCAUCGUAUAAUUAUGAAAGCUAUAUGCGCUGUGAGAGAGCUUUGCGUCCCAUUAGCUAGUUGGAGAGGUAACAGCUCACCAAGGCGAUGAUGGGUAGCCGGCCUGAGAGGGUGAUCGGCCACAAGGGGACUGAGGCACGGCCCUUACUCCUACGGGAGGCAGCAGUGGGGAAUAUUGGACAAUGGACCGAGAGUCUGAUCCAGCAAUUCUGUGUGCACGAUGAAGUUUUUCGGAAUGUAAAGUGCUUUUAGUUGGGAAGAAAAAAAUGACGGUACCAACAGAAGAAGUGACGGCUAAAUACGUG
rnacentral:rRNA from 1 species